rnacentral:rRNA from 1 species
AACGAACGCUGGCGGCAUGCCUAACACAUGCAAGUCGAACGAGACCUUCGGGUCUAGUGGCGCACGGGUGCGUAACGCGUGGGAAUCUGCCCAAAGGUACGGAAUAACUCGGGGAAACCCGUGCUAAUACCGUAUGAUGUCUUCGGACCAAAGAUUUAUCGCUUUUGGAUGAGCCCGCGUCGGAUUAGCUUGUUGGUGAGGUAAAAGCUCACCAAGGCGACGAUCCGUAGCUGGUCUGAGAGGAUGAUCAGCCACACUGGGACUGAGACACGGCCCAGACUCCUACGGGGGGCAGCAGUGGGGAAUAUUGGACAAUGGGCGCAAGCCUGAUCCAGCAAUGCCGCGUGAGUGAUGAAGGCCUUAGGGUUGUAAAGCUCUUUUACCCGGGAUGAUAAUGACAGUACCGGGAGAAUAAGCUCCGGCUAACUCCGUGCCAGCAGCCGCGGUAAUACGGAGGGAGCUAGCGUUGUUCGGAAUUACUGGGCGUAAAGCGCACGUA